rnacentral:rRNA from 1 species
UUUUAUUUGAGAGUUUGAUCCUGGCUCAGGAUGAACGCUGGCGGCGUGCCUAACACAUGCAAGUUGAGCGAUUUACUUCGGUAAAGAGCGGCGGACGGGUGAGUAACGCGUGGGUAACCUACCCUGUACACACGGAUAACAUACCGAAAGGUAUGCUAAUACGGGAUAAUAUAUUUGAGAGGCAUCUCUUAAAUAUCAAAGGUGAGCCAGUACAGGAUGGACCCGCGUCUGAUUAGCUAGUUGGUAAGGUAACGGCUUACCAAGGCGACGAUCAGUAGCCGACCUGAGAGGGUGAUCGG